rnacentral:rRNA from 1 species
GACGAACGCUGGCGGCGUGCCUAACACAUGCAAGUCGAGCGAGUGAAUCUCCUUCGGGAGUGAAACUAGCGGCGGACGGGUGAGUAACACGUGGGCAACCUGCCUCAUAGAGGGGAAUAGCCUUUCGAAAGGAAGAUUAAUACCGCAUAAGAUUGUAGCUUCGCAUGAAGUAGCAAUUAAAGGAGUAAUCCGCUAUGAGAUGGGCCCGCGGCGCAUUAGCUAGUUGGUGAGGUAACGGCUCACCAAGGCGACGAUGCGUAGCCGACCUGAGAGGGUGAUCGGCCACAUUGGGACUGAGACACGGCCCAGACUCCUACGGGAGGCAGCAGUGGGGAAUAUUGCACAAUGGGGGAAACCCUGAUGCAGCAACGCCGCGUGAGUGAUGACGGCCUCGGUUGUAAGGCGUCUGUCUUCUAGGACGGAGUAAUAGACGGUACCGUCGAGGAGGAAGCCGACGGCGUAACUACGUAGCCAGCAGCCGCGGUAAGU